rnacentral:rRNA from 1 species
AUUUUUAGUCAUAACACCUAUAACUAGAAAACUAAAAGUUAUAUUCUUCAAAUUCAAAGGAUUUGGCGGUGAUUUAGUCCAGUUAGAGGAACCUGUUAAAUAAACGAUAAACCACGCACUAUCUUACCUGUUUUUAUAGUUUGUAUACCGUCAUUAUUAGAUUACUCCGAUAGGAUAAGUUAUUUUAAUAGUUUUAACUAGUAUAUUAGAUCAAGGUGCAGCCAAUAAACAGGUCCUAAUGGGUUACAAUAAAACUUAUUUAAAACGAACAAAAGAUUUAAACAUCUUUUUUAAGGAGGAUUUAAUAGUAAAACUAGUUUAAUAUGCUAUUUUGAUAAAGGACCUAAAUUGAGUACAUAUCGCCCGUCACUUUCAAUUAAAUGAAAUAAGUCGUAACAUAG